ensembl:lncRNA
CUCAUUCACCGUGUUACACUUGCUUCUGCCAGGUGUAGCCGGUAGGAUUUAGGGGCAUCUAGCGGUAAGAUUGCAGACUACGUCCAAACGAACACCCCUCGCCCUCCCCUACAAACGUGUAGGCGAAGCUGCUGAAAAAACGCCAAAGACUGUCUCCAGAGCCACGACAGCAUAGAAGCGGACCAACUCCACCUGUAGAUGUAAAGGACUCAUUCUAAGCUGUGUGAGCAGAAGGUUCCUCUCCAAAGAGCCCCAGGCAGACCUACCUCACCUAGAACCAAACCACGAUGAGCCCAGGGCCAGAUCCAGAGAGGGAGC